rnacentral:tRNA from 1 species
UAUUCGUUGGUGUAUAGAGCAUAUAAAGUUUUGAUCUUUAAGGGGAUGGUGUAAAUCCGUUACGUAUAA